CGGGGGAGGCCGAAUCCUGGGCUGUGCCCCGGCGCCCUGUGCUCCGGGGCCUGUGCUGUUGGAUUCUCGCUCCCGGCCGCAUAGCCACCU
rfam:Canis lupus familiaris chromosome 19, whole genome shotgun sequence.